UACAGAGGUGGCAAGCGUUGUUCGGAAUUACUGGGCAUAAAGGGCGCGUAGGCGGUCCGAUAAGUCCCGUGUGAAAUCCCUCGGCUCAACUGAGGAAUGGCACGGGAAACUGACGGGCUUGAGUUCGGGAGAGGGGGGUGGAAUUCCCAGUGUAGCGGUGAAAUGCGUAGAUGUUGGGAGGAACACCGGUGGCGAAGGCGGCCCCCUGGACCGGUACUGACGCUGAGGCGCGAAAGCGUGGGGAGCGAAC
rnacentral:rRNA from 1 species